rnacentral:tRNA from 1 species
UUGGUAGAAACCAAAAUAGAGGUAUAUCACUGUUAAUGAUAAAAUUGAAUAAUUAUUUCCUUCCAAG